GGUUCGGCCGCCGAACUUUAGCUUAGGCCGCCGAACCUGAAUUUUUUCUGAGAACGAUAUAACCGUUAUUUCUGAACAUGAACGGCUCUAUUUGCAUUUAAUGCAUCCCCAACGGCCAUAUUUAUGACUGAACUAUAAAUACAAUGAGUUUUUGAUGUGAAGAGGUUACAACAACCAUCUAAGCAAAUAUUUAUUGAGAUCACAG
rnacentral:lncRNA from 1 species